rfam:Triticum aestivum genome assembly, contig: Triticum_aestivum_CS42_TGACv1_scaffold_424049_5BS
CAGAUACUUUCUUCGUUCGGAAUUUCUUGUCUCAAAAAUGAAUGUAUUUAGAAUUAAAAUACGUCUAGAUACAUUCAUUUAUGCGACAAGUAAUUCCGAACGAAGGGAGUAUUUC